UGCAAGUUCGACCUGACCCCGCCCACUCUGCUCACGUAGCUCCUCCCGGUAAUCAGCAAAUUGUCAGAGGAAGCUGUUGGCAGAAUGUCUGACUUUUAUAUCAGGCUGCUCAGAGUCGUGGUGGUUUCUGAAGAUGGAGGGCGUUUGUCCUUCAGUUGCCCCAUCACCAUCUAACGCUGACUGAAAUCUUUAUUCCAACUGGUCACCGAAGUAAUUGCUGCACCUCAGCUGUGUCUGGAGCCGCUUCCUCCGCUGUCUCAGCCGUACUGGAGGCAGCAGACCUGACGGUUUAACCUGAUGGAGGUGAUUGGAUGUGGUGCUGGGGCACAUUAUGGCACAACUGGACGAGGCCUGACCAUCGUGAUGUCUUGUUGCUUAGAUGUCCCUCUCUCCUUCUCUCUGCUCCUUCCACCCACACAUUUAUCAGAAAUGCCCAAAUCCCUAAAUAAAUGAACUUGUUUCUCUUA